GAUGAACGCUAGCUACAGGCUUAACACAUGCAAGUCGAGGGGAAACGACAUCGAAAGCUUGCUUUUGGUGGGCGUCGACCGGCGCACGGGUGAGUAACGCGUAUCCAACCUGCCCACCACUUGGGGAUAACCUUGCGAAAGUAAGACUAAUACCCAAUGAUAUCCCACGAAGGCAUCCGAAUGGGAUUAAAGAUUUAUCGGUGAUGGAUGGGGAUGCGUCUGAUUAGCUUGUUGGCGGGGUAACGGCCCACCAAGGCAACGAUCAGUAGGGGUUCUGAGAGGAAAGCCCCCCACAUUGGAACUGAGACACGGUCCAAAACUCCUACGGGAGGCAGCAGUGAGGAAUAUUGGUCAAUGGGCGAGAGCCUGAACCAGCCAAGUAGCGUGCAGGAAGACGGCCCUAUGGGUUGUAAACUGCUUUUAUAGGGGAAUAAAGUGAGCCACGUGUGGUUUUUUGCAUGUACCCUAUGAAUAAGGACCGGCUAAUCCGUG
rnacentral:rRNA from 1 species